UGUAACUUUUUCUUUGAAGGAAUUUGAUUUAACAAAAAAAUCUCAAAUCAAUGAUUUGUGAAUAAUAAUUGAAGACUAUCUAUGUCUUUUUUUUUCUUUUGACAAAUUUUAGUUUUUAAUAUAAAUAAGUUAAUCAUCCUUUCAUUUUUAAUAAAAAGAAAAUGUGAAAUUUAAUGCAGCGUUAAAAAAAAUAAUGGAAAUAAAAAAAGAAAACGACAGUGAAGAAGUGAAAAGAGAGAGUGAGAUGAGAGGGUUUCACAAAUUUACUCAUCACUUUCACUGAACAACAGACCAUAACGCACAUUCCUCCUCCAACUCGCUCAUUACUCUAAAGACACCAAUCUCACUUUUUGGUCUCUAGACAACAAAUAGAGGUGGGGAAUCUAUUAUCCUUUCCUUUUUAAGCAAAUUGUCUGCUGUGGGCAUUCAUGAAUGAAUGACAUAAAAUGGUACAUUCAGACACAAGUUUAAAGAAACUUGAAAGAUCAUAGACAAUUAUUUCCUUCUUUAUUGGCUGUCCGAGUUUGCAAAGCCCGUUUGGGGCUAACUUUUCACCUGACUUCCAAAACUACCAAUUCAUCUACUCUUCAAAAGCUAACUGUCUCUCGAAGUUGGAUAUGAUUCAAGCCUUUGUUAUCAUUUUACAAGAAAAAGAGUGCCAAUGCAUCCUCCUUUGACUCACCUCUCAAUAUGACUGCAGCCCAUGUGGCCUUUAUGAUGCUAUCGCCUAUCGAUACACUGCUUGCGUGUCGUGUUGGUAUUUAAUCAUUAGCUCGGUGAUUGAUUUAAACUUUUCAUUAAAUAUUGUAUAAUUAGUCUUAGAAGAUGCAGAUUAAUUUGUUUGACAUUAUGCAUUAAUGUGAAGUUAAAUACAUGCCUAACUGUGAUAAAUUUCGAAGUCAUAGGAACUGUUGGAGUACAGUGUGUGGUGAGGCUCAGUUAGGUGGCUAUGAUUCCUGAGCAUUUUUAGCUGUUAUAUUGUUUAUGAGAUAGAUUUAACUCUGUUAGUAGAACAUAGAAUCACAGUUAAGCUAGUCAAUGUUGGUUCCACUACUUAAGCUGUCUGCUAUCUCUGGUAUGCCAUGUACGUGAGAAUCAUUUAAGCUUUACACUUUCUGUCUAGCUAUCUUUUCAUGUCAUGCGGUCAAAUAAUGAAACCAAAAUGUAAAUUCUUGGAUAAUCUUAUGUGAAUGUUGUACAAAUAAUUUGGUAAAACUCAACAAUACAUUGGUCCCUUUUUUCUUU